GAGGUACUCCCUCCGUCCCAAAAUUCUUGUCUUAGAUUUGUCUAAAUAUGGAUGUAUCUAAUACUAAAAUAUGACUUGAUACAUCUGUAUUUAGAAAAAUCUAAGACAAGAAUUUUGGGACAGAGGGAGUACUUU
rnacentral:pre_miRNA from 1 species